CUCUGAUCCUAGAAUCGCCCCUGAUAUAAUAUAUUAUAUUAUAUAUUAUAUUUAUUACUUUUAUUAUUUCUUUCAGAUCAUGAAACCAUGAACAGAAUCAAGGUGUGAUUAAGAACAUGGAUGAUGUGCAGGAUAACAGCGCUUUUCAGUUACAACGAUCUCAUUAUAUGUUCAUCUGCCUCACAAGCCAACAUGACAUAAAAUAGGAAAAAAAGAAAGAAAAGAAGUUUUGAAAUGACAAAACACCAAAGAUAAAAUUUAAUCUGAUUACACUGCUGCCUGUCCAACAAUCAGGUAGUUAGACAUUCUUUAGAUUCCUGUAAGUUAUAAUCUUGAUAUCAAGCUUUAAAGUAAAAAAAAAAAAAAAGCAUUAAUAAAUACUGUCAUCAAGGUAGGAUUAGAAAUAUUCUGCUCAAAACAAUUAAAGGAGCACCUUUAAAAACACAUCAGACAUUAAAGAUCAUACUGGAUAGGUAUGCUGAUAUGGAUUGGGUAACAUGUUAGGAAUUAAAGGAUGCCACAUAAUUUGAUGGAAAUGAAAAUGAUUACCCUACAAUGGGCUAAAUUUAAAGACAUGCCAAAAAUCAAAGUAAGAAAAUGAUCCGGCAGGUUAGUCCAUUUUGCAGUAAACUCAUAGUGAUACUUAUUGAUUUGUAUGGCUCACGUGUCUGCCUGAUGAUAUCAGAGCAUGCUAAAAAAAGAUGGUAUCCUGGGGGAUCUCCUCCCACACCUGGACCAAGGCAUCACUGAGAUCCUGGACCAUCUGAGGUGCAACCUGGCAGCGUUGGCUGGACCAAAAGAUAAUGUCACAGAGUUGUUCAGCUGGAUUUUUAACCAGUCAAUCACUGCACUCUAAUCAGAAUGAAUUAUUAAAUUAAUAGCAUUUAAAAUAAUUAGUGAUGGAAAUGAAAUGCUGAUGUCCCGAUAAAGGAUAAAACUCCACUGAGAAGGAGGUUCAGACCUCGGGGCUCAGCUCUGAAUCAUCCUCAUCACUCUGACUCCACCUUUCUCAGAAACCAGUCAGAAUGAGCAGCUGAAGGUAUCCACCCACCCAACCCAUCACACCCACACCUGAUGAAACUCAGUUACUUUCAUUUCCUUAGAUAACUUGUAUUCUUUUCAGGUUUUUAUCUCUGUUAUUCUCAAACAAUCACACCAUCCUUAGGUCAUCUGUGUGAAAUGUCUGCUGUAGUGUCUCUGUCUCUCGGCUGGACUUUACUGUCUGUCUGCCUCCUGCUCGUCUCUGCAGAGCAGAAAACCAUCACAGCUGAGUCUGGACAGGACGUCACUCUGACAUGUCGAGGUCCAAACAACAACAUCACAGUUUUAGAGUGGAGCAGAGCUGACCUGGGAGAUGAAAAUGUGCUUUUGUACCACAAUGAUCGUUUUGAUCCAGACGACCAGCAUCCAUCUUUUAAGAACCGGGUGGAUCUGCAGGACAGACAGAUGAAGGAUGGAGACGUGUCUCUGAUUCUGAAGAAUGUGACGAUUAAUGAUGCUGGAACAUACGAGUGUCGUGUAAUCACAACAGGAACAAACCGCAGGAAGGGAGCUAAUCUGGGUGUCAGCAUCAUCCACCUUCAUGUUGUUCCUCCAGCUCAUCUCAGUGGACGAGUUUCAUCUUUAAAAACAGUCUUUACAUUUCAGCUCUUUAGUUAACUGGAACAUCCAGAGGGCUGUGACUACAAAUCAGCUUCAACACAGUCAGACUGUCUUUGUGUUAGCUGGCUCAACUAAACCUGAAACUGCAGUCAGAGACUGCUCUCUACAACUGCUGUCAGCAAAAAGAACUUUUACAUCUUCAAACAAAUGAAGGCAACACUUGAACAUGAAAUAUUUUCACACCUGAAUGUUUCAAUCAAGAUCUGAUUUCAGUUUCUCUUUAUCUUUGUGAGCUGUGUGGUUUGUUUACCCUCAGUAUCCAUGAACAGUGUCACAGACCUGGGAUCAGUGUUUUUGUUUAUAAGAUCAAAUAUGACCUCAUUAUGUGAGUGUGAGCUUUGGACCACAAAACUUCAACAACACUAAUCCUCAAUCAGCUGUUUCAAUAAAAUUACAUCCAAGUAUAAACUGAUUCCAUCCUUCAUGCAUCACUUUGCUGCUGACAGAUGGUUAUAGGCAUUCCUGGUCGCUUGGGUAACCCUGUAAUGUAUUUACUACAUGUACAUUUGUCACUCAGCAGUACAAUUUAAUGUCAUUGGUAGUUGUUUCAGUAGUUCUCAAAGAUAAGAAAAGUUUACCUCGAUACUCCCUGACUUCACAUCAGUGAUCAGUUAUUUCUUCGUCUGAGUUGUGUUUAAAAAGUGUAGCUACUUGUUUUGUAUGUUUGACCAUGUAUGUAUGUUUGUGCUCUGACUGUAUUUUCCUGCUGCUCACACACAGCAUUAGAAAAGCUUGAAAACUCACUGUUUACAGAGUCUGUGAGCUCCAAAUGUUUGCAUGAAGGACAGAGAACAAAGAUCAGUGUGAAGGGUGUCUCUGUAUUUUGAACAAUAAACUAUUGGAUAAUUCUGAUCCUCUUAUUUCAUGAAUGAGUCUCAGUCACUUUGGUUUAAAUUAUUCAUUUUUUAAUUUGUUUCAUUGGCAGAGAAGCUAAAUCAUGUGAAUAUCAUCAUCAUGUCACAUGUGAACACAGAUUCAAAAGAUUUAAUAUCCGUGUCUUUGACAAUCGAGCCCACAGACGCCAAAACAAUGCCAGCAAAUGGAAACUGAAAAAACAAAUCUGUAAGCGAAAAAAAAGAUGUAAUUGUGAAAACUUAGUUAUGAGUUUUUUUGUUUUAAUGUCAAUAUUUACAGUUUCAAUUAAUCUUUUUUUUUAACAUCAAGACAAAUGUUCAAUACAUUUCAAUUACAAUAUUUUGUCAUGGUCCGGAGUCUGUGACUCCGUGUUUAUGUUAAGUUUAUUAUUAUUCUGUGGUUUUGGUUAUCUUGGGUUUUUGUACUCUCCUGUUUCACGUUUCUUGUUCCUAUGUCUGUGUCCCCCAGUCUGUGUUUAGUUGGUGUGUGUUGUGUUCAGUCGGUGUGUUUCCUGUUUUACUUUGAAGGUCUCUGUCUGAUGUCAGUGUGUUCUGUUUAUUUUUCCCUGCCUCGUCAGCUGUUAUGUCUCCCUGGUGUGUUUCCCUCCUGUUUCCCAUCCCCUGAAUACUGGUGUGUGUAUUUAUAGUGUGUGUUCCCUCGUCCUUGUUGCUGGUUCAUCUGUGUUAUUCCCCUCCGUCAUUCUGUGUAUUUUCCUCCAUCUUCUCCCCACGUUGUUCUCCCUCAUUCAUGUUCAGGUUUUGUUGUUUUAGUUUUCCCAGUUUAGAGUGUUUUCAGUUCUGUUUCUCGCCACCCUUUCUUUUGUGUUGUACAUCACUGUCACAAUAAAUCUCGCUCACCUCAGAA